UACGUAGGGUGCAAGCGUUGUCCGGAAUUAUUGGGCGUAAAGAGCUCGUAGGCGGUUUGUCGCGUCUGCCGUGAAAGUCCGGGGCUCAACUCCGGAUCUGCGGUGGGUACGGGCAGACUAGAGUGAUGUAGGGGAGACUGGAAUUCCUGGUGUAGCGGUGAAAAUGCGCAGAUAUCAGGAGGAACACCGAUGGCGGAGGCAGGUCUCUGGGCAUUAACUGACGCUGAGGAGCGAAAGCAUGGGGAGCGAACAGG
rnacentral:rRNA from 1 species